GAGUUUGAUCUUGGCUCAGAUUGAACGCUGGCGGCAUGCCUUACACAUGCAAGUCGAACGGCAGCACGGGAGCUUGCUCCUGGUGGCGAGUGGCGAACGGGUGAGUAAUGCAUCGGAACGUAUCCUGGAGUGGGGGAUAACGUAGCGAAAGUUACGCUAAUACCGCAUAUUCUGUGAGCAGGAAAGCGGGGGGACCUUCGGGCCUCGCGCUCUUGGAGCGGCCGAUGUCGGAUUAGCUAGUUGGUGAGGUAAAGGCUCACCAAGGCGACGAUCCGUAGCAGGUCUGAGAGGAUGAUCUGCCACACUGGAACUGAGACACGGUCCAGACUCCUACGGGAGGCAGCAGUGGGGAAUUUUGGACAAUGGGGGCAACCCUGAUCCAGCCAUGCCGCGUGAGUGAAGAAGGCCU
rnacentral:rRNA from 2 species